rnacentral:rRNA from 1 species
GAUGAACGCUGGCGGCGUGCCUAAUACAUGCAAGUCGAGCGAACGGACGAGAAGCUUGCUUCUCUGAUGUUAGCGGCGGACGGGUGAGUAACACGUGGAUAACCUACCUAUAAGACUGGGAUAACUUCGGGAAGCCGGAGCUAAUACCGGAUAAUAUUUUGAACCGCAUGGUUCAAAAGUGAAAGACGGUCUUGCUGUCACUUAUAGAUGGAUCCGCGCUGCAUUAGCUAGUUGGUAAGGUAACGGCUUACCAAGGCAACGAUGCAUAGCAGACCUGAGAGGGUGAUCGGCCACACUGGAACUGAGACACGGUCCAGACUCCUACGGGAGGCAGCAGUAGGGAAUCUUCCGCAAUGGGCGAAAGCCUGACGGAGCAACGCCGCGUGAGUGAUGAAGGUCUUCGGAUCGUAAAACUCUGUUAUUAGGGAAGAACAUAUGUGUAAGUAACUGUGCACAUCUUGACGGUACCUAAUCAGAAAGCCACGGCUAACUACGUG